UUAGCAUUCAUUAAAUUUAAGUCAUAACUUCUCAACAAAGUUUAUGGAAUUACUCUACAUUGAAGUGGCAUCUCUUCUAGAUAAUAUAAAUACAGAGAGAACUUCAUUGGACAAGUGACAUCUUAAGCAGGUCUUUAUUGGACACGUGACAUCUUUAGCAGGUCUCCAUUCAUAAAUAACUUCAGCAAAAAAAAUCUUCAAUGGACAAUUUCUGGGACAAGUGACAUCUUUAGCAGAACAAUUUCAGUAGCCCUUUCGAUUUUGACCUAAAAAUAAUAGUUUGAAAUCUGUGAGCAAUAUUGCAUGUAGAAUAUAAAGAACUAUCUAUCAGAAUAUAAAUACAUUCUUGAUCACAAACUGACAAGACACCAUGCAAACUGGCCAGGAUCAAAGAAACAAAAUAGCUACAUAUGCAAUCAAUGUAUAUUAUUGAGGUCACUUGAUCAUGCAGCACCAAUAGAGAACACUUCAGACUGUCCAGGUUAACAGUCUAUCCAGACAACAUAAUAUCACAAGGAUAGUGUGAGAUGGGAAAUCACAUCAGACCACUAAUGGUUCUAGCUCCAUAUGCCCUUCUCAAUGUAGCACAUGAUCGACAACAUAACCUCCCAAAAGGUUUCAUGUGGAUAAAAUGUUCUAGGUGCGGUCAAUUUGACAAACAAUCAUAGGUUGUGGUCCUAAAAUUAUCAGGUAGAAUUGUACCUAGGAAGGUCUAUCCAUCUCUUAUCCAUAAAGCUGAUAUUGACAAUCAAAUUUCACAGGCCACCUAAAUAAUUCUGUGUUUCAGUGGUGUUUUCUGCGCACGCGUACAAACCAUUGUGCUCAUGGGAAAAAUAAUAAAAAGACUUUGCACAAGACAAACAUAACACAUAGAUAUAACAUUUCAGCCUUUAAGCACAGUACUGAUGGCAAGUUGGAUGAUACUAACCGUGGUACGAUGUUUUUUUAGAUCUCCUGCUUGGUAGAUGCUCAACAACAUAGAUCGAUUGUAGCAAAAUCGAUAGUGGCAAACUAAACUGCACCAUAAAUCCAAAUAGUUCACAUUUAGAAACAGAUUAUAACACUGACUUAAAAUUAAAUGCUUGUGUUAAUAAUUUCAAGGAACUCCCAAGAUAUCAAUCAUGGUACAGAGUGCUAGAACAUUUAAGUGGUUGCCAAUUUCCAGAUCAAUAUAACAUUUAACGAAAUCGUUAUGUAGGAGUACAACAGGUUACCUUCCUAUAAGCUAUGCUCAUUACAUGACUGACUUUAUUGAAACAAAUCAACAUCCUAUAAAAAAACCUAUAUUCAUCCAUGAGCAUAGCUUAUAAACAAACGAAAUUGAUCGAUGAAGACAACCAAAUUACCAACAUGUUAUAUGCAGGGCAGAGAUAUAACAAACAGAUUUGUAGCUUGCAUAUAAGGUGCUUUAUACUUAUAUGUAGACAUACAAGACAGAGGGUUCCUCAUGUGUGUAAUAUUGGCUAACACAAGUAUUUAGCCCUAACGCUUCAGGAGUCAUUGCUGCCAUGAUGCACAUAUUUCAGGGAGUGAAGAUGAAAUCUCCAAAUUCUAAAGGUAUCAGAAUUCAGGUGAAAACUACAAGAACAUAGAUGGCUCUGAAAAAAUUCAGGUGAAAUCUUUGUACUACUGUAUCUCUGAAUUAUGUUCAUGUAUGUAGCUACAUAUUUAGAGUUACAAGCUGCCAAAGAGCAUUCCAUGGUUCACUGUUUCGUAUCAAGACAUGUGCUAAAAUUAGUGAGCUGGUAGCCCAAUCUGGCUGGUGCAGUGUACUUACAUGCAGACUAAUUCAGGUAAAUCACAGGCUAACCAGGCAACAAGUAUGAAAUAUGUCAGGUAAAAAACAUGCAGUGCUAAGGGAUUACUGUUCAUAAGCUCAAACAACACCAUGGUUACCUCGUUGAUCUAAGAUUCAUGGCUACCUCCCUUGUCAUUCUCUCAAUUCUAACACCCGAAACAAAUUCUGAUUGCAAUCGGUGCAAAAUUCGUUAAAGUACAGAACAAGCAAGCUGGUCAAUCAGUUACCCUCGAAUUCUAAGCAACUAAUGGCUGCAAGUUACCCUCCAAAUCCAUCAUGCAAGCACCAAUAUGCGGACAAAUUAAGUAAAUCACAGGGCAAACAUACAGCUUAUAGGCAAGGUUGUAAAAAGAAAAACACAUAUAACCAAGAGAUUUGAUUUUUACCUGAACAAGGGGACUUCCUUGAUGUCGGAAGAUGAGGUGGAGGCAGGCACCAGAGGUGGAGGCGAUGGGGAGGCGGCGGAGGAGGUGGGGAAGAGGGUGGAGUCAACUGCGGCAAUGGGAAGGCGUUGGGCGGAGGAGCCGAUAGCGGAAGCCAGCGUGCAGGUCGAGUCAGAGGUGGGGAGGAGGGGAGGGUUUGAGUGGAGUCGGAGUUAGGGAGUAGCGGCGGCUGGCCGAUGGAGUCGACGGCGGCGUGCGGCGGUGUGGGUGAGGCGGAGGGGGCUGCGUGGUGGAGGCGGCGCGUGGUGGGAGAGGAGCGAGCAGGCGGGGGGCGCUGGAUUUGGCGGAGGAGGUGGUGCGCGGUGGCGGGGGGCGCACGCGGUGGAUUUGGCGGAGGAGGCGGCGGCGCGGGCGGUGGAUGGCGACAAAGGCGCGCGCGGUGGAAGGGGGCACGAGGUGGCGGCGCCUAGGGUUUUUUUGGCGUCGAUUUUCUUUUUGGCGUGGAUUUUUUUUUUUGGCGUGGAAAAAAUUUGGGCGAUUCUUUUUUUUAUUAUUUUCUUGCGCCCCUAAAUUAAUUUGCCGCCCGAGGCUACACCUCACUCUAUCUUAACCAUGGGAUCAAGAUCUGACGGAGUUCAAUGGAGAUAGGGGAGAUUGAAACUCGUUUUCCGCGCGUACGCUUUUCAAACUAUUAAACGGUGU
rnacentral:lncRNA from 1 species